AUGGAUAUGGAAGCCGAGUCAUGGAGAAGUCCAGUCAUCGGUUCCCAGCAGCAGGGGUUGGAAGGAACAGAUUUGCACAAAUGCAGAGAUGAGAUUCUUACUCAAAACAGGCUGCUGUCUAACCCCCAGGCUACAACAGAAGCAGAGAUGUGCAAAGUUCACAGGGUCUCUCUGCCCAGAGAACAUUCUCCACUGCCUAUGAGGGCUGACAAACACCUCAAACUCCUUAGCAUGCAGGAGGAUCUGUGGGGAGGACAUUUUCAUUGCACACCUGCCCGCAGCACAGGUCCUUCUCCUCCAGUAGGCUGCAGCUUGGUAUUCCUCUGCUAGGAGAUGGAAGAAGAUCAGAGUCCUGCUGGGACUAAGAUAAGCAACAUCUGAAAGGCAUCGAGGAACCAGGAGCUGGGAGGAGAGGAAGAGAUAGAGGAGACUGGAGAGACAAACUUCUGCCGAGUGUCCUCUCCAGGAGUUCCAAUGCCACCCCACCCACCUUGUAGCAUGAACCAGAGGCCAGGAGGCCUGAGUGAGCACUGCCCAUCAGUGGAGGAAGGUGCCUCUUGUCUGCUUUUCUUCUGUUUCAGAGAUGCCCAGAGGCUUACAACUUCUGCUACACACCACCAUGCUAUGCAGCCUCACUACAGGCUUAGAAACAAUAGGCAAACCAGGCAGACUGUAACCCCCGAAACUGUGAGCCAAAUAAACCUCAUCUCUUUUUAAGUUGAU
ensembl:lincRNA 1110008E08Rik RIKEN cDNA 1110008E08 gene